UUACCAAUUGCUUUUGCUUUCGUGAUAAUUAUACCUGUCCACCAACCAUCACCACCAUGGAUCCUUCUUUGGCUUCUUCCACUACCAACGUUUUAAACCAUUCUUCGUCCCCCAAGACUUUCUCACUUUUCCACAGUUGAAAACUCAGAGACAACACAGAGUGUCUUCAAUGCCACGCCCAGACAAGAAUUGAUGGUACUCUGCCCUCUGCAAAUGAAUUUUCUGGUUUGGUUUUACCCUCUGGUCUUUGGAAGAAAUGAGAGAAAAAGUGGAUGAUAAUGCCAUGGAGUGGUGGUUAACAGUGGUUUAUUAUCUCAAACAUCACAAGUCAUCUGCUUUUCGUUUUCUUGUUCUUUGCAAGAAACAAAAUGGAGUUUACAUUUGAAACUCGUAUUUGAUGAUGCUGUAUGUGCAUGUUUCUUAAUUCUCACUUUCUCUUUUACAGAUUUCGGUAGAUAUGAUCGUGCAGUAGUUCAAGGGAAGAAAAUGGACAAGAGGUUUUUCAAUCUUAGGUUUUCUGUGAGGUGAAUUACCAUCCUUGGCAUUGUUGACUUGAUGUUCUGCUGGCAAGUUAUUAACAU